GCGAGCAUGAUCCUGACUGGUGUUGGGCGCGGACUUCAAAUCCGUGGACGCCGAGAGGCGUAGUGGUCCGAUUCCACCUUGCUCGC
rfam:Fistulifera solaris DNA, contig: scaffold00149, strain: JPCC DA0580.